CAGGGUAGCUUCCUGUAUGGCUUACUACGUUCGGUGUUGCCGGCCCCUCGCUCCUGGUGCAGGCUGAAGAAAUGCAAACAAAGUACAGCAUUAGCCUGAGC
rnacentral:miRNA from 1 species